CGAAAUAAGUUUGAGCUAAAUAAUUAGUUCUUUUAGGGAAAUGAUGUGCGUUGUAUAGUACAAUUUAAAUAUUUAUUUAGGGGUGAAAGGCCUCCCAAAAACUAAGAUAUCUUGAUACCACAAAAAAGUAUUUAGUACUUUAAACAAAUAUAAAGUGGUUAGGCUUUAUAUUACUACAAUAAAUAGUUUGGAAGAUGUAAAGGUAUAACCAUCUAUUACAUUUAAUCUUAUCAUACAUAUUAAAAGAAUGUACUUACUUUGUGGUCCUAUAUAAACUUUAUUAUAUAUUGAUAAUGUAUACAUAAGUACUUUAAGCGAGACCUAAACAACGAACUCGGCAAAAAUUUUCCUCAACUGUUUAUCAAAAACAUAACUAUAUGUUAUUUAUAUAUAGCUAUUUCUGCUCAAUGUGUACAUAAAUAGCCGCAGUACUUUGACUGUGCAAAGGUAGCAUAAUCAAUUGACUUAUAAUUGAAGUCUGGAAUGAAGGAAUUUUUGGGGAAAUACUGUUUCCUUUAAGGUUGUGGAAAUUGGUUAAUAGGUGCAAAAACCUAUAACUAAAAAAUAGACGAGAAGACCCUAGAAAUUUUGAUCAAAGAGUAAGAUUUCCUUUUUGUUGGGGCAACAUAGUAGCAAGGCUAAUCUACUGAAAAAAUUAGGAUUAAAUAUAAAGACUAAAUAAAUUACUCUAGGGAUAACAGCAUAAUAUUUUAAAGUUUGUGACCUCGAUGUUGGACUAGGAAAUUAUAGUUUAGAAGACUAUUUUAUGGGCUCUGUU
rnacentral:rRNA from 1 species